AUGGUUCAUUCUCUCACUCAACCCUCCCUCCAGGCAGCAGCUGUCCUUUGCAGGGCUGUGGACCUCACUCUGUGGACCUCACACCGUGGACCUCACCAUGGACCUCACACCGUGGACCUCACACUGUGGACCUCACCAUGGACCUCACACCGUGGACCUCACCAUGGACCUCACACCAUGGACCUCACACCGUGGACCUCACACUGUGGACCUCACCAUGGACCUCACACCAUGGACCUCACACCGUGGACCUCACACUGUGGACCUCACCAUGGACCUCACACCGUGGACCUCACACUGUGGACCUCACCCUGUGGACCUCACACUGUGGACCUCACCAUGGACCUCACACGGUGGACCUCACCAUGGACCUCACACCAUGGACCUCACACCAUGGACCUCACACCGUGGACCUCACACUGUGGACCUCACACUGUGGACCUCACCAUGGACCUCACACCGUGGACCUCACACCAUGGACCUCACACUGUGGACCUCACACUGUGGACCUCACCAUGGACCUCACACCAUGGACCUCACACCAUGGACCUCACACCGUGGACCUCACCAUGGACCUCACACCAUGGACCUCACACCAUGGACCUCACACCGUGGACCUCACCAUGGACCUCACACCAUGGACCUCACACCGUGGACCUCACACCAUGGACCUCACACCAUGGACCUCACACCAUGGACCUCACACCGUGGACCUCACACCAUGGACCUCACACUGUGGACCUCACACUGUGGACCUCACACCGUGGACCUCACCAUGGACCUCACACUGUGGACCUCACCAUGGACCUCACACCAUGGACCUCACACCAUGGACCUCACCAUGGACCUCACUGUGGACCUCACACCGUGGACCUCACACCAUGGACCUCACUCUGUGGACCUCACACCGUGGACAUCACCAUGGACCUCACACCGUGGACCUCACACCAUGGACCUCACACCGUGGACCUCACACCGUGGACCUCACACCAUGGACCUCACACCGUGGACCUCACACCGUGGACCUCACACCAUAGACCUCACCAUGGACCUCACUGUAGACCUCACCCCGUGGACCUCACACUGUGGACCUCACCGUGGACCUCACACCGUGGACCUCACACCGUGGACCUCACACCGUGGACCUCACACCGUGGACCUCACCAUGGACCUCACACCGUGGACCUCACUGAUUGUCCAGCGCUACAUCAGGUCCCUGCCCGGUGCUGCUCUCAUGCCAGAUAA
rnacentral:lncRNA from 1 species